rnacentral:rRNA from 1 species
AAUGAACGUUGGCGGCGUGGAUUAGGCAUGCAAGUCGAGCGAGAACCGUAGCAAUACGGGGACAGCGGCGAAAGGGACAGUAAUAUGUAGAUCAUCUGCCCUCGGGAUCGGGAUAGCUGCGGGAAACUGCAGGUAAUACCGAAUAACAUCUCCGGAUCAAAUGGUGUGAUUCCGCCUGAGGAUGAGUCUGCAUCCUAUUAGCUAGUUGGUGGGGUAACGGCCUACCAAGGCAUUGAUGGGUAGCGGGUGUGAGAGCACGACCCGCGUCACUGGGACUGAGACACUGCCCAGACACCUACGGGUGGCUG